CGCGCCCCCCGUUUUUCCCGGUAGGAAGUGGCGUUUCUAAGGACAGGAGGCGUUCGUUCGGCCGGAAGUAGUGCCGUCAGGGAUGUCAAGCGGAGACUUGGUGCGACGUUCGGGACAGGGCUGGUGGCGCUAGGCGUUAGCGGACUCGCGUGGCUGGGCGUGAGGCGAGAAAGCAGAAAGGAUCCUCCACGCUUAUAUAAGAUUGUUCGUAUGACUCAGUCUCUGAGACUACAUCAAGAGUUCCAACAUCUAGCAGCUCUAUCACCAGGACAGACCCUCUAAAACUAAUCCUAACAAGUACAUCUAAAGGUUAAGGCUACUUUUCCAGAUAGUCCAACCACUAAGUCAGGAGUUUCCAAGGGCAUUUACCUCACCUGUGGAAAACUUCAGAUCCUUGCCUACCAGAUGUUCUUGACAACUCAUCCCAUCAUCCCCAUUCUACAUAAGUUGCCAUACCAGCGGACAACCAAGACAACUGCUGAGCUUUUCAUUACCAAGUAGAUUUAAUGUCACUGCCAACAAAACAGAGUGGACAAAGUGUCUCUUGAUAAUAUCACUACCCGUUGAAACUACGCCAAGAAAAUCAGCAUGCCUAGUUGAGGACCCUUCUCUUCUUGGGUAGUCAGGAUUUAAAGGAGAUACUCUGACGUGUGCCACUGAACAGACUGGUGGGAUUCAACCAUCAGAAAGCAAGAAAUUAGCUACCCCCACUAAAAUCUUCUCAAGUAUGGUCUUCUCAACAUUCAUUUCUACAGCAGUAGUUAAAGUGAGUAAUUACAUGAGCGAAAAUGAUAGGAAUGUGGAUUUCUCUCUCAGAUUUUAUAUGGAUAUACCUUUUGGGGGUUCCUGUUUUUUAUGGGGAGUGCAUUUUCAAAAUUAGCCUAUGAAACUCUAAACCUAUUAAGGUAUCUGCAUUUACAACUUGAACAUUCUAUAUCAUAGGCUUUUACCAGGCUUUCUGUGGCUAAAUUGGCCCAUAAUAUCAUCCCUUGAAUUAUAACAGUCCGCUAUUCUGUAGGGAGUAUGUUUCCUGGAUCUUGGCACUAAGACUUUUGUCAUGCGCAAAUAAAAUAUAUUCAAAAAAGAUAAAAAGGAUUAAGAGAGAAUAUAGUUUCACUAUCAACUGGUAAAAAGAUUAAAACAUUUCAACUGUCUUACAUUUCAUGGAGCAGAAAUUUAUGCCCUUUCCACAUCCAUUGCAAACAUUUCAAAAACCCUUCUAAUAUUAAUGAAUCAGCCUAACACAUCUGAAAUUAAGCAUUUUAGCAGCAUUUUUUAAGUAGAUUAACUUCUGAUUUUCUUCUGACUGAAUAAGGAAAAGUAUAUGCCUUUGAGUACAUUGCCAAUGAUUCUACUAUGAGCCAAAACAUAGAAAUCAACAUAAAAUAAAAUGCAUGAGACCAUUAAAUUUUUUGACAUAUCCUACAAUAAAAAGUGAAAUUUGUGUGUCAUUGUGGAUAACUGGGCAUCUAAAGGGAAUCAUAAAACAUAUUGUUAAAAAUGUAUCAUAUAUUCUCUUUAUUUUAGUUUUGCUUUUUCUUGUUCUCCAUAAUUGCUAUGUACAAGGUUGAAUAAAAAAAAAAGCAGUGAUACAAUCACAAAUUUUGUAAAUAUAUAAAAGCUUAAGGAGAACGAACAAUGUUUAUAACCUAAUAAGUAUUUCUACUGAGCUUUAGUUAUCCUGUCUUAAGGGGGAAAAUAAGAGUAUUAUACUAAGUAGGGGGAAAAAAAAAACUUGUUCAUGGUAAUUAUUGACCUGGACCUAUAUCAUACUGUUAGUAUAACUGAAUGUAUCAGAAACUGUUCCUAUAUAGAUGUUCUGUGAAAUUGGUUUUUUAAACGUUACAAAAUCUGUUUUCCUUUUUUUUAGGGGUAAAGAUUGGAGGAGGUAGGAAAGAAAUCUGAAAAUUAAAAUGUGUUGUUUAUGUAUCCAUAACAUGUUCGUGUGUGUGUGUGUGUGUGUGUGUGUGUAAAAGUGCCUUGCUUGUGAAUGCAUUUUUGCUAUUCACUCCAAAAAGGAAGCCUUUUUCCACCUUGGCAGCUGAAUAAACAAACAUCUUUGUACAUGCGGAA